UGGGGAAUUUUGGACAAUGGGCGAAAGCCUGAUCCAGCAAUGCCGCGUGUGUGAAGAAGGCCUUCGGGUUGUAAAGCACUUUUGUCCGGAAAGAAAUCCUUGGCUCUAAUACAGUCGGGGGAUGACGGUACCGGAAGAAUAAGCACCGGCUAACUACGUGCCAGCAGCCGCGGUAAUACGUAGGGUGCAAGCGUUAAUCGGAAUUACUGGGCGUAAAGCGUGCGCAGGCGGUUUGCUAAGACCGAUGUGAAAUCCCCGGGCUCAACCUGGGAACUGCAUUGGUGACUGGCAGGCUAGAGUAUGGCAGAGGGGGGUAGAAUUCCACGUGUAGCAGUGAAAUGCGUAGAGAUGUGGAGGAAUACCGAUGGCGAAGGCAGCCCCCUGGGCCAAUACUGACGCUCAUGCACGAAAGCGUGGGGAGCAAACAGGAUUAGAUACCCUGGUAGUCCACGCCCUAAACGAUGUCAACUAGUUGUUGGGGAUUCAUUUCCUUAGUAACGUAGCUAACGCGUGAAGUUGACCGCCUGGGGAGUACGGUCGCAAGAUUAAAACUUAAAGGAAUUGACGGGGUCAGCUGUUUCCU
rnacentral:rRNA from 1 species